rnacentral:rRNA from 1 species
GACGAACGCUGGCGGCGUGCUUAACACAUGCAAGUCGAACGAGUGGCGAACGGGCGAGUAAUACGUGGGUACCCUGCCCUCUUUUUGGGAUAAGCCAUGGAAACGGGGUCUAAUACCGAAUAAAGGGGGAUGGGCUCGCGGCCUAUCAGCUUGUUGGUGGGGUGAUGGCCUACCAAGGCGGUGACGGGUAGCCGGCCUGAGAGGGAUACAUGCGACAUUGGGACUGAGAUACGGCUCCGACUCCGACGGGAGGCAGCGUUGGGGAAUAGUGCACAAUGGGCGAAAGACGGAUGCGGAGACGCCGCGGGGGGGAUGGAGGUUUGCGUGGUGGAAACCUUUGUCGCUAUCGAAGGGGUAGCUGGAGGAGAGGCUCCGGCUAACUACGUGCCAGCAGCCGCGGUAAUUC